UACUUUUCGAUAAAAAAGUUUAAAGAGUUGUAAAAAUCUUUGUGUUUAUAAAACAGUUUACAGGUUUGUACGGGGUCGCCGCUUAAAAGGCGUGCACCGUCGUGAUGCGUGCGUGUGUGGAGGUACAGAUCGGGUCCUGGGUUUGGUUUAUCAGGGUCUUUACAACUGUGCAGUGGUCGGAGGGAGGUGGGAUGGUGCGGGAGAGAGCAGAGGGAGUGCGACAGAGCGUUAGCAAGGAGAGGUGGGUGACAGUAGUAGUUCUUUUUUUCUUAGCAAGGAGAGGUGGAGGGACUGCGCAGCGUGGCCGCCGGCUGCGCCGUAGCCGCCGCCUCUUCCACGACAAUCUAGCUGACAGAUUCUUUUAUAUCUCCCCAGAAAGACAGGAGACGAGCAUGGACUUCGUUCGCACCUCCCCGACGAGAUUAUCCAGAUACGUGGGACACAGUUAGAGGAAAGUUGGUAAGUGACGUUGAGGUCGCCCGUUAAAAGGGAGUUCCUGGUGAUUACACUCCAGAGCGGCACUAAAACAGUUCAACGGCUGUCAACUUUCUUCAUCACCUAUGGCACGGUACUUAAGGCCUGGUUUAAGACGAAGGUCCAGACUUUACUGACCCCUUGUCCUAAUACGACACCCUCUCUUACUACCACACUAGUAUCAGCUGGUACCCAGUGCCGCUGUCCUUAGAUUAGAGUACGAUUUGCUAAAACAAUGAUACAAGUCCCGUUCCUGACCGAUGUCCUAACAACUCGGACGAGUGUACCUCGAGCGACUCGGAUGGUAAUUUCUUCGUAAACCUUUUACACAGGUCGUUCCUCGUAGGGCGUAAUAACAGUCGGGUAUAAAGGAGAGUGGACCUGCCGUGACCUUUGUUCUAUAUGGAAGAAAUCGUCGUCUUCGGAGAUUUGUCGUGAGAUUGCACCGGAUGUAACAGUGACGAGGAGAACCUAACGUACUCGAAUACCACCUAUAAUACUUACUGGCGUAGUUCAUGACGGACUCCGUGCAACGUCCGCUACGGCUACUCACACGUCAUACACGACCCUGACCUUUCACGGUGGAGAUGAGGACUACUACUACUGUACACUCGACGAGCUUUCAGAUUAGUCCUGUGGAACAAAAAGAGAGUAACCGUCGCGUCUAACUACCGACUCCGGUUAUAAAGGUAGAACAAUUGGGUACGAGGAACAAUAGACGGUACACUAGUCUUUUGUAACAUUGUUACUAGAGCCGCCAAAACAAGUCGAACAUCUAGAUCUCACAAAAGUCAUCAGACUUGUUCUAUGGUACUGUUCUCUCACAUUUAAACAGUACAUUUAGUUUGUGACGGACCAUACGUGGUGUUGUUUAAACAAUACGGGGACGUUCUUUUUUUUACAAUGCCUUUACAGACCUUACUGCGAGGUAGCGGU
rnacentral:rRNA from 1 species